rnacentral:rRNA from 1 species
AACGAACGCUGGCGGCAGGCUUAACACAUGCAAGUCGAACGGGCGUAGCAAUACGUCAGUGGCAGACGGGUGAGUAACACGUGGGAACCUUCCUAGGGGUACGGAACAACUCAGGGAAACUUGAGCUAAUACCGUAUACGUCCGAGAGGAGAAAGAUUUAUCGCCCUUAGACGGGCCCGCGUCGGAUUAGGUAGUUGGUGUGGUAACGGCCUAACAAGCCGACGAUCCGUAGCUGAUCUGUGAGGAUGAUCAGCCGCACUGGGACUGAGACACGGCCCAGACUCCUACGGGAGGCAGCAGUGGGGAAUCUUGGACAAUGGGCGCAAGCCUGAUCCAGCCAUGCCGCGUGAGUGAAGAGGGCCUUAGGGUUGUAAAGCUCUUUUGGCAGGGACGAUAAUGACGGUACCUGCAGAAUAAGCCCCGGCAAACUUCGUGCCAGCCGCCGCAGUAACAC